rnacentral:misc_RNA from 1 species
GAUGAAGAACGUAGCGAAAUGCGAUAAGUAAUACGAAUUGCAGAAUUUCCGUGAGUCAUCGAAUCUUUGAACGCACAUUGCGCCCACUGGUAUUCCGGUGGGCAUGCCUGUUCGAGCGUCAUUAUCCUCCCUCAAACCCCGGGUCUGGUGUUGGACCCAAGUUGUGUGAACAACUGGUCUCAAAGACAAUGACGGCGUCCGUGGGACCCUCGGUGCAACGAGCUUUUAGGAGCACGCAUCGAGUUGCAAGGACCUUCCGGGCCGGUCUCCUUUACCAUUUUACAAGGUUGACCUCGGAUCAGGUAGGAAUACCCGCUGAACUUAAGCAUAUCAAUAAGCGGAGGA